AGGUGCACAACGCUACCAGGUGCACAACGCUACCAGGAGCAUAACGCUACCAGCAACACAACGCUACCAGGAACACAACGCUACCAGGAGCACAACGCUACCAGGAGCACAACGCUACCAGGAGCACAACGCUACCAGGUGCACAACGCUACCAGGAACACAACCCUUUAUUUGUCUCUUAAUUUAUUAAUUAAGGCUUUUGAAAAGUUAAAUGAAAGGGCUAUUUCAGUGCCUGGAUCGAGGUGAAAAAAUAUAUUAAAUUGGAAGAAACUAUCGUGCAUAAUAUGAGAAUUUGUUUCCCAUUAAAUCAUAGUUUAAUCAUGAGGCAACACCCUCACUAAGCAUCCUCACUAAAUACAUUUGACAUUUAGCAGAAGCUCUUAUCCAGAGCGACCUACAGUGCAUUCAUCUUAAGAUAGCUAGGUAAGACAACCACAUAACACAGCAACUACACAACACAGCAACUACACAACACAGCAACUACACAACACAGCAACUACACAACACAGCAACUAUAUAACACAGCAACCACACAACACAGUCGAAGUACAUAACACAGCAACCACACAACACAGCAACUACACAACACAGCAACCACAUAACACAGCAACUACAUAACACAGCAACUACAUAACACAGCAACUAUAUAACACAGCAACUACAUAACACAGCAACUACAUAACACAGCAACUACAUAACACAGCAACUACACAACACAGUAACCACAUAACACAGCAACUAUAUAACACAGCAACUACAUAACACAGCAACUACAUAACACAGCAACCACAUAACACAGCAACCACAUAACACAGCAACCACAUAACACAGAAACCACAUAACACAGCAACUAUAUAACACAGCAACUACAUAACACAGCAACUACAUAACACAGCAACCACAUAACACAGCAACUAUAUAACACAGCAACUACAUAACACAGCAACUACAUAACACAGCAAAUACACAACCCAGUUACAACCCAAAUACACAACCCACAACCCACAACCCAGGGGAAGAUGGACAGGGACUGUUGUCAUAGCUUCAGGGGGGAAGAUGGACAGGGACCCUGUUGUCAUAGCUUCAGGGGGGAGAUGAACAGGGACUCUGUUGUCAUAGCAUCAGGG
ensembl:lncRNA